rnacentral:rRNA from 1 species
GUUAUAUGGUCAAGCGAAUAAGCGCACACGGUGGAUGCCUAGGCGGUCAGAGGCGAUGAAGGACGUGGUAGCCUGCGAAAAGUGUCGGAGAGCUGGCAACAAGCUUUGAUCCGGCAAUAUCCGAAUGGGGAAACCCACUGCUUCGGCAGUAUCCUGCAGUGAAUUCAUAGCUGCUGGAAGCGAACCCGGUGAACUGAAAUAUCUAAGUAACCGGAGGAAAAGAAAUCAACCGAGAUUCCCUAAGUAGUGACGAGCGAACGGGGAGCAGCCCUUAAGCUGGAAUGGCUUUAGAAAAACAAUCUGGAAAGAUUGGCCAUAGAAGGUGAUAGCCCUGUAUUUAAAAGGGCCACUCCAGUGAAGACGAGUAGGGCGGGGCACGUGAAACCCUGUCUGAAUAUGGGGGGACCAUCCUCCAAGGCUAAAUACUCCUGACCGACCGAUAGUGAACCAGUACCGUGAGGGAAAGGCGAAAAGAACCCCGGAGAGGGGAGUGAAAUAGAUCCUGAAACCGUGUGCGUACAAGCAGUAGGAGCUCGCAAGAGUGACUGCGUACCUUUUGUAUAAUGGGUCAGCGACUUACUGUUCGUGGCAAGCUUAACCGUAUAGGGGAGGCGAAGGGAAACCGAGUCUGAUAAGGGCGCAUAGUCGCGGGCAGUAGACCCGAAACCGGGUGAUCUAGUCAUGGCCAGGGUGAAGGUGCCGUAACAGGUACUGGAGGCCCGA